CAUUGAAUCUAGGAGGCAAAGGUUGCAGUGAGGCAAGAUCACGCCACUGCACUCUAGCCUGGGCCACGGAGUGAGACUCCAUCUCAAAAUAAAGAAAAAAAAAUUGUAAGCAGAGGGUAAUUAAUAGAGGCAGACUUCACAUCUGUCCUGUGGGCUUCUUUUCCAGAGUUCCAUAUCCAGACUUUCAAACCAUGUUCUGGGGUCAUCCAAACAUUCCAUCCUCCUGACUCCAUAAACAGCUGGAUUCAUAACCCGCUCCAUACUUGAAAACGUGGGGAUUGGAAUUCGCACUUAUCGCCACCUGACGUAUUAUGUAUUUACUUAUCUGUUAUAAUAAUAUGGCUCAGUAACGGAAGUGACUUAAAAAAUAAAAUAAUUCAAUGUCUACCGACUAAGUACCAGGUAAGCCAUUAUGUAUAUUACCU
rnacentral:lncRNA from 1 species